GAUGAACGCUAGCUACAGGCUUAACACAUGCAAGUCGAGGGGCAGCAUUUCAGUUUGCUUGCAAACUGGAGAUGGCGACCGGCGCACGGGUGAGUAACACGUAUCCAACCUGCCGAUAACUCGGGGAUAGCCUUUCGAAAGAAAGAUUAAUACCCGAUGGCAUAAUUAGACCGCAUGGUCUUAUUAUUAAAGAAUUUCGGUUAUCGAUGGGGAUGCGUUCCAUUAGGCAGUUGGUGAGGUAACGGCUCACCAAACCUUCGAUGGAUAGGGGUUCUGAGAGGAAGGUCCCCCACAUUGGAACUGAGACACGGUCCAAACUCCUACGGGAGGCAGCAGUGAGGAAUAUUGGUCAAUGGGCGCAGGCCUGAACCAGCCAAGUAGCGUGAAGGAUGACUGCCCUAUGGGUUGUAAACUUCUUUUAUAUGGGAAUAAAGUUUUCCACGUGUGGAAUUUUGUAUGUACCAUAUGAAUAAGGAUCGGCUAACUCCGUGCCAGCAGCCGCGGUAAUACGGAGGAUCCGAGCGUUAUCCGGAUUUAUUGGGUUUAAAGGGAGCGUAGGUGGACAGUUAAGUCAGUUGUGAAAGUUUGCGGCUCAACCGUAAAAUUGCAGUUGAUACUGGCUGUCUUGAGUACAGUAGAGGUGGGCGGAAUUCGUGGUGUAGCGGUGAAAUGCUUAGAUAUCACGAAGAACUCCGAUUGCGAAGGCAGCUCACUGGACUGCAACUGACACUGAUGCUCGAAAGUGUGGGUAUCAAACAGGAUUAGAUACCCUGGUAGUCCACACAGUAAACGAUGAAUACUCGCUGUUUGCGAUAUACAGUAAGCGGCCAAGCGAAAGCAUUAAGUAUUCCACCUGGGGAGUACGCCGGCAACGGUGAAACUCAAAGGAAUUGACGGGGGCCCGCACAAGCGGAGGAACAUGUGGUUUAAUUCGAUGAUACGCGAGGAACCUUACCCGGGCUUAAAUUGCAUUUGAAUAAUCUGGAAACAGGUUAGCCGCAAGGCAAAUGUGAAGGUGCUGCAUGGUUGUCGUCAGCUCGUGCCGUGAGGUGUCGGCUUAAGUGCCAUAACGAGCGCAACCCUUAUCUUUAGUUACUAACAGGUCAUGCUGAGGACUCUAGAGAGACUGCCGUCGUAAGAUGUGAGGAAGGUGGGGAUGACGUCAAAUCAGCACGGCCCUUACGUCCGGGGCUACACACGUGUUACAAUGGGGGGUACAGAAGGCAGCUACCUGGUGACAGGAUGCUAAUCCCAAAAGCCUCUCUCAGUUCGGAUCGAAGUCUGCAACCCGACUUCGUGAAGCUGGAUUCGCUAGUAAUCGCGCAUCAGCCAUGGCGCGGUGAAUACGUUCCCGGGCCUUGUACACACCGCCCGUCAAGCCAUGAAAGCCGGGGGUACCUGAAGUACGUAACCGCAAGGAGCGUCCUAGGGUAAAACUGGUAAUUGGGGCUAAGUCAUAACAA
rnacentral:rRNA from 1 species